rnacentral:rRNA from 1 species
AUUGAACGCUGGCGGCAGGCCUAACACAUGCAAGUCGAGCGGAUGAAGGGAGCUUGCUCCUGGAUUCAGCGGCGGACGGGUGAGUAAUGCCUAGGAAUCUGCCUGGUAGUGGGGGAUAACGUCCGGAAACGGGCGCUAAUACCGCAUACGUCCUGAGGGAGAAAGUGGGGGAUCUUCGGACCUCACGCUAUCAGAUGAGCCUAGGUCGGAUUAGCUAGUUGGUGGGGUAAAGGCCUACCAAGGCGACGAUCCGUAACUGGUCUGAGAGGAUGAUCAGUCACACUGGAACUGAGACACGGUCCAGACUCCUACGGGAGGCAGCAGUGGGGAAAAUUCGACAAUGGGCGAAAGCCUGAUCCAGCCAUGCCGCGUGUGUGAAGAAGGUCUUCGGAUUGUAAAACACUUUAAGUUGGGAAGAAGGGCAGUAAGUUAAUACCUUGCUAUUUUGACGUUACCAACAGAAUAAGCACCGGCUAACUUCGUG